UCGUUUGUCAUCUCGGCUGUAUCUCGUCAUUACUGUGUAGUGACCCUAUUCCCAGUCGAAUGAACUAGGGAACAUAAAGUAGGCAUCUGUAGUGGAUAUCUACUUGGUGAAUAUGUUUUGUAAAUCCUGUCCACCCCGUGGAUGGGUAGUCGGCAAAACGUCGGACUGUCAUAAGAAUUGAAACGCUGGCACACUGUUGGGUCCUGAGGCAACACGUUGUGUUGUCACCCUGCUUGGUGGUGGGGUGUGGACUUUGACUUCUGGAUAGUGGUUGCGAGCAU
rnacentral:misc_RNA from 1 species